rnacentral:rRNA from 1 species
UGAGUACGAGAUGCUACGGCAUCGAAGCAGUCUAUGUCAUACUUCCAAGAAAAGCUUGCACUGUCAGAAACAGAUAAUGCCUGUACCAUAACCGACACAGGUGGGUAGGUAGAGUAUACUAAGGGGCGCGAGAUAACUCUCUCUAAGGAACUCGGCAAAAUGACUCCGUAACUUCGGGAGAAGGAGUGCCUUAUUUUUAAGGUUGCAAUAACAAGAUCCAAGCAACUGUUUACCAAAAACACAGGUCUCCGCUAAGUCGUAAGACGAUGUAUGGGGGCUGACGCCUGCCCAGUGCCAGAAGGUUAAAGAAGUCGGUUAGCAUUCGCGAAGCUGGUAACUGAAGCCCUGGUGAACGGCGGCCGUAAUAAUAACGGUCCUAAGGUAGCGAAAUUCCUUGUCGGGUAAGUUCCGACCCGCACGAAAGGCGUAAUGAUUUGGAUACUGUCUCGGAGAGGGGCUCGGUGAAAUAGACUUGUCUGUGAAGAUGCGGACUACCUGCACCUGGACAGAAAGACCCUAUGAAGCUUUACUGUAACUUGAAAUUGAAAUUGGACUUUAUUUGCGCAGUAUAGGUGGGAGGCGUUGAAAAUAUUCUUGCGGGAAUAUUGGAGCCAUCAGUGAGAUACCACUCUUGUAAUGUUAGAUUUCUAACUUUAUAUCAUUAUCUGGUUAAAGAACAGUUUCAGGCGGGCAGUUUGACUGGGGCGGUCGCCUCCCAAAUGGUAACGGAGGCGCACAAAGGUUUCCUCUGAACGGGUAGAAAUCGUAUCUAGAGUGUAAAGGCAUAAGGAAGCUUGACUGUGAGACCUACAAGUCGAGCAGGGACGAAAGUCGGUCUUAGUGAUCUGACGGUGCUGAGUGGAAAGGCCGUCACUCAACGGAUAAAAGUUACUCUAGGAUAACAGGCUGAUCUCCCCCAAGAGUUCACAUCGACGGGGAGGUUUGGCACCUCGAUGUCGGCUCAUCGCAUCCUGGGGCGGUAGUACGUCCCAAGGGUUGGGCUGUUCGCCCAUGAAAGCGGUACGCGAGCUGGGUUCAGAACGUCGUGAGACAGUUCGGUCCAUAUCCGGUGUAGGCGUUAGAAUAUUGAGAGGAGCCUUCUUUAGUACGAGAGGACCGAGAAGGACAUACCUCUGGUGUACCAGUUAUCGUGCCAACGGUAAACGCUGGGUAGCUAUGUAUGGAGUGGAUAACCGCUGAAAGCAUCUAAGUGGGAAGCCCACCUCAAGAUAAG